AUUGAACGCUGGCGGCAGGCCUAACACAUGCAAGUCGAGCGAGCGGCGGACGGGUGAGUAAUGUAUGGGGACUGCCUGAUAGAGGGGGAUAACUACUGGAAACGGUGGCUAAUACCGCAUAAUAUCCGUUCACCCAUAGGGGAUUAGCGAGUAGGUGGGGUAAAGGCGCACCUAGGCGACGAUCCCUAGCUGGUCUUAGAGGAUGAUCGGCCACACUGGGACUGAGACACGGCCCAGACUCCUAAGGAGGCAGCAGUGGGGAAUAUUGCACAAUGGGCGCAAGCCUGAUGCAGCCAUGCCGCGUGUAUGAAGAAGGCCUUAGGGUUGUAAAGGACUUGCAGCGGGGAGGCGUUACCCGCAGAAGAAGCACCGGCUAACUCCGUGCCAGCAGCCGCGGUAAUUC
rnacentral:rRNA from 1 species